GAAAUGCGAUAAGUAAUGUGAAUUGCAGAAUUCAGUGAAUCAUCGAAACUUUGAACGCACAUUGCGCCCGCCAGUAUUCUGGCGGGCAUGCCUGUUCGAGCGUCAUUACAACCCUCAGGCCCCCGGGCCUGGCGUUGGGGAUCGGCGGAAGCCCCCUGCGGGCACAACGCCGUCCCCCAAAUACAGUGGCGGUCCCGCCGCAGCUUCCAUUGCGUAGUAGCUAACACCUCGCAACUGGAGAGCGGCGCGGCCACGCCGUAAAACACCCAACUUCUGAAUGUUGACCUCGAAUCAGGUAGGAAUACCCGCUGAACUUAAGC
rnacentral:misc_RNA from 1 species